rnacentral:rRNA from 1 species
UACAGAGGUCCCGAGCGUUGUUCGGAUUCACUGGGCGUAAAGGGUGCGUAGGUGGCGAGGUAAGUCGGAUGUGAAAUCUCGGAGCUCAACUCCGAAAUGGCAUUGGAAACUACCUUGCUCGAGGGUUGGAGGGGGGACUGGAAUACUUGGUGUAGCAGUGAAAUGCGUAGAUAUCAAGUGGAACACCAGUGGCGAAGGCGAGUCCCUGGACAACUCCUGACACUGAGGCACGAAAGCUAGGGGAGCAAACAGGAUUAGAAACCCAGUAGUCC